AGGGCGGCAGUUUAAUUGUAAACAUUUGAUUUGCAUUCAAAAAAUUAUUGUAAAAAAUCCGCCUUA
rnacentral:tRNA from 1 species